rnacentral:lncRNA from 1 species
GCCAUACCUGCAGCAUAUGGAAGUUCCCAGGCUAGAAGUACAAUCAGAGCUACAGCCACAGUCUAUACACUGUCACAGAAAGAUUAGAUCUGAGCUGCAUCUCUUACCUACACCACAGCUUGUGACUACACUGGAUCCUUAAGCCACUGAGUUAGGCCUGGGAUCAAACCCACAUCCUUGUGCAUAAUAGGCAGGUUCUUAACCUACUGAGCCACAGCAGGAACUCCUUUCUACACACUUCUAAACUGAGAGCACCUUUGGGUUGACCUGCUUUACAAAGCCAUUGCAUAAACUCAGAGAAAUCAAGUGUUGCCAACUAAAUAUUAGCACUUACCAUCUGCCUCUACAAGGACUGAAUCAUGAGAUGCUGCAGCUGCUGACCUUCAACAUCCUCUGAAGGAUGCUCAGUGUGGAGAUCAGGAGGGAGGCACUCUGUGCUCUGGGGAAAAAACUAGCAGAAUAGAUCUUCAGAUAGUUAGAUAUUUUCAGGAGAUUUUUAUGAGCCCAAUUCCUAUGUUUCCAUAUCUAGAAAAGCACUAAAAUCAUUAACAGAGAGAUCUAUUCGAGACUAGCAGCAAGCCUGUGAAAAGUGUGUGCUUGACUACACUACCCCCUUCACUGAAAAUAACAUAUAACACUGACCUUACUCCCUACUUCUUUGGAACUGAUACCUCAGAGCUCUCUGAGAUGUGAUUUUUCUGGAUGUAGUUCUCAUAUUGCUCCCAAAAAAACUUCACUCACAAAUCUCACAUACAAUUUUCUUAGUUGACAGAGACUUCCUAUUUAUUUAUUUAUUUAUUUAUUUUUGCUUUUUAGGUCCAUACCCAUGGCAUAUGGAAGUUCCCUGGACAGGGGUAGAAUGGGAGCUACAGGUGCCAGCCUACGCCACAGCCACAGCAAUGUGGGAUCCGAGCCAUGUUUGGGACCUACACUACAGCUCACAGCAAUGCUGGAUCCCUGACCCAGUGAUUGAGGCCAGGGAUCACACCUGCCUCCUCAUGGAUACUAGUCAGGCUUGUUGCUGCUAAGCCACAAUGGGAAAUUCCGACAUGAUUGGAGGACCAGAGUGCUUACUCCAAACAGGACAUUUCUCUUUCUCCAAGGUGCUGGAAGCACAGGUCCCCAGCCUUGCCUUACAGAUACACCCUUGAUAAGCUACUUAAUUCUGCUUACCAAGCUCAGUCAGCUCAGUUCCUCACAGGUGAAAUGGAUGGAAAUACGUAUUGAGAGAAGAGUCAUGUGAUUGAACUCCUUACCAUUUAAAGCAAUGCUGAACAUGUAACACACCCAUACUAUUAAUUCCCUUCUUUCUCCCUUGAUAAUUCUUUUCUCAACAUGGGGCCAGUAUACAACAUACUGUGCCCUAUGAAAAUGCGUCUUCAUGAGCAUAUUUAUUUUACAUGGAUUUGGUGAAAGGAGGAAAGGCCCUUGUAGCAGAUAUUUAUCUUUGUAUAUAAAAAGGCAGAAGUGCCUUGACAUCUCUGGGCAUUUUCUCUAGAAUGAUAGCUUCCCCAUCACUACAGCUCCUUGUGAUCUCCUCUUGGAAUCCUUUCCCUGCCUCCAAGGUUACACUCAGUGCUUUCCCUCUCUGUUCCUCCCUGGCUCUAUCACUGCAGUUACUGUGUUCAAUAGUUUACCUGUUUACUCCUCCAUGUAAAUGUCACGUCCUAGAACCCUGUAUUUAUCAUUAUUACUUUGGUAACAUGAUUAUAGAAAUUAAAUUACAGGUGAUGUCAUAGACAUUUGAUGAAUGAAUGACUCAAUAUCUUUUUGGAUCCACCACCUAGAGUAACAAAAAUAAAAACAAAAAUACAUAAAUGGCAGUUCCCGUUGUGGUUCAGCAGGUUAAGAAUACAACUAGUAUUCUUCAUCAGGUCUGAUCCCUGACCUCGCUCAAUGAGUUAAAGAUCUGCAAUUGCCUCAAGCUGUGGUGUAGGUCACAGCUGUAGCUUGGAUCCUGCACUGAUGUGGCUAAGGCGUCCAUAGGCUGGCAGCUGCAGCUCUGAUUCGACCUCUAACCUGGGAACUGUAAUAUGCCACAGGUGCGGCCCUAAAGAAAUAAAGUAAAAUAAACAAUUAGGACCUAAUCAAACUUAAAAACUUUUGCACAGCAAAGGAAACCCUAAACAAAAUGAAAAGACAACCCACACAAUGGGAGAAAAUAUUUACAAAUGAGGAAUUAAUCUCCAAAUUAUUCAAAUAGCUCAAGCAGCUCAAUGUUAAAAAAAAAAAUCAAAAAGUGGGCAGAAGAUCUAAAUAGUCAUUUAUUUAAAGAAGACAUACAGAUGGUAAACAGGAAUGUAAAAAUGUGCUCAACAUUGCUAAUUAUUGGAGGAAUGCAAAUCAAAACUACAAUGAGGUAUCAUCUCACACCAGUCAUCAAAAAAAAAAAAAAGCCAUCAUCAAAAAGCCUACAAACUGUAAAUGCUAGAGAGGGUGUGACCAAAAGGGAACCCUCCUACAAUGUUGGUGGGAAUGUAAAUUGGUAUAACCACUAUGCAGAGUAGCAUGAGGCUCCUUAAAAAUAAAAAUAGAACUACCAUAUGAUCUAGGAAUCAUACUCCUGUGCAUAUAUCUGGAGAAAACCACAAUUUGAAAAGAUACAUGCACACUUAUGUUUACUGAAGCACUAUUUACAAUAGCCAAAACAUGAAAGGAGCCUAAAUGUCCAUCUACAGAAGAAUGGAUAAAAAAGAUGUGGUACAUGUAUAUAAUGGAAUAUUACUCAGACAUAAAAAGGAAUGGAAUAAUGUCAUUAAUGUAUUAACAUAGAUAGACGUAGAAAUUAUCAUAGUUAAGUAAGUCAAAGACAAAUAUAAUGUGAGAGCAUUUAUAUAUGGGAUCUAAAAAAAUGACACAAAUUAACUUAUUUAUAAAACAGAAAAAGACUCACAGACUUGGAAACAAAUUUAUGGUUACCAAAGGGGAAAGGUGGGGGAGGCAUAAAAUGGAAUUUCAGAUUAACAUAUUCACACUAGUAUAUGUAAAAUAGAUAAUCAACAAGGACCUACUUUAUAACACAGAGAACUCUACUCAAUAUUCCAUAAUAACAUAUAUGGGAAAAGCAUCUGAAAAGGAAU